rnacentral:lncRNA from 1 species
CAAUUUCAGAGUGCAUUUUCACAUAUUAGUUUAAUAACUUCUGAGGGAAGGACUAUUUUGUAGGUUUUAUUCCUAUCAGUUCCAAAGUAAAGGGCAACAUGUACCACUAAAUAGAAGGGAAGUAGCAGUGAGACUGGGACUCCAGGGACAGGCAGGCCCUGGUGAACUGGAAACUCUCCAGGGGAGUUCUGAGAACUCAAGAGCAGGAAGAAUCAACUGCCCCUGUAGAAGAGCAGUAGGCAAUCCAGGAAUAUAAGACAGGUAGAACUGAGUGAAAGACUGAGGUUGAAGGAUCUGUACUGAGCUUGCAUAAACUGUUCAAAGAAAACGUUUUGCUAAGUAUUCAUAAAAAAUUUAAAGGACAGUCAAGAUCAACAGAUAUGUAUAACCUUGUUCAAACUGACAACGAAGUAAAUUCUGUGCCCUCCCUAUUAGUUUUUUCUCACCAGUAUGUAUUUUAAUUUUACAAGAAACUCUGAUCAUUUGCAUAUAUGAGAUGAGACUAUGUUUCCCCAAUUUUCUCCAGGAAAGAUUAAAUCCCUGUGCAAUUUAUUUGCUUUUCAGGAAGCUAUUUAGUUUUAACUUAGCCUUGGAGAAGUAUAGAGUUUUCCACUGCAGUCUGAUUUGCUAAUUAAUAAUAAGGUCAUACAAUUUCAUAGUACAUUUUACAUAUUAGUUUAAAACUAACAACCUUCUGAGGGACAGACUAUUUAUUCAUACCUUUAUAUUAUUAAUGAUUUUAAAUAUGAAGUAAAGCAUAACUAGAAGAGUAAUUAGAGACCAUGUUAAGAUUAACAUCAUCUCAUAUUCAGAGAAUUUACCCAGCUUAUCUAAUAUUACACAAUAAACACAGGCAGACCUAAAAGUUA